GGCCAAGCUAUUAAGAGCAAACGGUGGAUGCCUUGGCAUCAGGAGGCGAAGAAAGACGUGGCAGGCUGCGAUAAGCUUCGGGGAGUUGCCGAACAAGCGUUGAUCCGGAGAUAUCUGAAUGGGGGAACCCGUCAUUGUCAAUACGAUGACAUCAUUAGCUGAAUACAUAGGCUGAUGAGGCGAACGAGGUGAACUGAAACAUCUUAGUAACCUCAGGAAAAGAAAACAACAGUGAUUUCCCAAGUAGCGGCGAGCGAACGGGAAACAGCCCAAACCGAUUAUAUGUCAAAGCUCGAAAGCGUUGUAUAAUCGGUGUCGCGGGGUCGUUUCGUAUCUGGUUUCGGACAGAUGGAAAAGUCAAUGUCGAAUCAUAGCCGAACAGUCUGGAAAGGCUGUCCGCAGAGGGUGAGAGGCCCGUAGGCGAAAUGAGUCGCACUUUUCCGAAUCGACACCCAAGUACCGCGGGACACGAGGAAUCCUGUGGGAAUUCGGGAGGACCAUCUCCCAAGGCUGAAUACUACCUGAUGACCGAUAGUGGACAAGUACCGUGAGGGAAAGGUGAAAAGUACUCCGGGAGGAGAGUGAAAAGUACCUGAAACCGUUUGCUUACAAGCAGUGGGAGGACCAUGAUUCGCGGACGGGGUUAGCCCUGUCACCGAUUCGGUCUUACCGCGUGCCUUUUGCAUAAUGAGUCAGCGAGUUGUUUUAUGCAGCGAGGUUAAGCCGACAGGUGUAGCCGAAGCGAAAGCGAGUCUUAACAGGGCGAAUGAGUUGCAUGGAGCAGACCCGAAACCAAGUGAUCUAUCCAUGGCCAGAGUGAAGCGCAAGUAAGAUUGCGUGGAGGCUCGAACCGUCGUAUGUUGAAAAAUGCUCGGAUGAGCUGUGGAUAGGGGUGAAAGGCCAAACAAACUUGGAGAUAGCUGGUACUCCCCGAAAUAUAUUUAGGUAUAGCCUCGCAUGUUGACAGACGGGGGUAGAGCACCGGAUGGGCUAGGGGUCCUACCAGAUUACCAAACCUAACCGAACUCCGAAUACCGUCGGUUUCAAAUGCGGGAGUCAGACUGCGGGAGCUAAGUUCCGCGGUCAAAAGGGAAACAGCCCGAACCGCCGGCUAAGGUCCCGAAAUAUGUGCUAAGUGGGAAAGGAUGUGGAAAUGCACAGACAACCAGGAGGUUGGCUUAGAAGCAGCCAUCCUUUGAAGAAAGCGUAACAGCUCACUGGUCGAGUGAGUCCGCGCCGAAGAUGUAACGGGGCUGAAGCACAUUACCGAAGCCGCGGCGGCUGGAAUGACAUUUCGAUGUGGUUACAGUCGGGUAGGGGAGCAUUCCGUAUGGGACAAAGGCCGACCGAAAGGACGGCUGGACUUUACGGAAGAGAUCAUGCUGACAUGAGUAACGAUAAAGCGGGUGAGAAACCCGCUCGCCGAAAGCCUGAGGAUUCCUGAGUAAAGCUAAUCUGCUCAGGGUUAGUCGAUCCCUAAGCCGAGGCCGAAAGGCGUAGGCGAUGGAAAACAGGUUAAUAUUCCUGUACCGCCGGGUUAUUGAUGUUUCUUCGGAAACGGAAGCGAAUGGGGGGACGCAGGAGGGCGGGUCAGCCGUCGGAUGGAAGUGGCGGUUCAAGCCGGUAGGCCGAAAGGACAGGCAAAUCCGUUCUUUCGCUAAGGCCGAGAAGUGAUGAGGAGAGACUGUGUCUCAUAAACUGACCGAUCCCAUACUGCCAAGAAAAGCCUCUAAGCGAGAUAAUCGGGCGAUCGUACCGUAAACCGACACAGGUGGGCAGGGAGAGAAUCCCAAGGCGCUUGAGAGAACCCUGGUUAAGGAACUCGGCAAAAUGACACCGUAACUUAGGGAGAAGGUGGGCCUUUGUCAGGUGAAGCGACAUGGUUUCACAAUCAUGCUUGCGGAGCCGAGAAAGGUUGCAGAGAAAUGGCGGUAGCGACUGUUUACUAAAAACAUAGGACUCUGCGAAGUCGCAAGACGAAGUAUAGGGUCUGACGCCUGCCCGGUGCCGGAAGGUUAAGGGGAGCUGUUAUCUUCGGAGAAGCGGUGAACCGAAGCCCCGGUAAACGGCGGCCGUAACUAUAACGGUCCUAAGGUAGCGAAAUUCCUUGUCGGGUAAGUUCCGACCUGCACGAAUGGCGUAACGACUUCCGCACUGUCUCAACCAGGGACUCAGUGAAAUUGAAUUGGCGGUGAAGAUGCCGUCUACCCGCGAAAAGACGGAAAGACCCCGGCACCUUUACUACAGCUUGACAUUGAAUUUUGAAAUGAUAUGUGUAGGAUAGGUGGGAGGCAUUGAAAUCGCGACGCCAGUCGCGACGGAGUCGCCCUUGAAAUACCACCCUUGUCAUUUUAGGGUUCUAAUUUCGACCCGUGAACCGGGCGAAAGACAGUGUCUGGCGGGUAGUUUGACUGGGGCGGUCGCCUCCUAAAGAGUAACGGAGGCGCGCGAAGGUUCCCUCAGGCUGAUUGGAAACCAGCCGCGGAGUGCAAAGGCAUAAGGGAGCUUGACUGCGAGAGAGACAUUUCGAGCAGGUGCGAAAGCAGGUCUUAGUGAUCCGGCGGUUCUGAAUGGAAGGGCCGUCGCUCAACGGAUAAAAGGUACGCCGGGGAUAACAGGCUUAUCGCCCCCAAGAGUUCACAUCGACGGGGCGGUUUGGCACCUCGAUGUCGGCUCAUCACAUCCUGGGGCUGGAGCAGGUCCCAAGGGUUCGGCUGUUCGCCGAUUAAAGUGGUACGUGAGCUGGGUUUAAAACGUCGUGAGACAGUUUGGUCCCUAUCUUUCGCGGGCGUAGGAUAUUUGAGAGGCUCUGUUCUCAGUACGAGAGGACCGGAAUGGACGAACCUAUGGUGUUCCAGUUGUCGCGCCAGCGGCAUAGCUGGGUAGCUAAGUUCGGAAAGGAUAACCGCUGAAAGCAUCUAAGCGGGAAGCCCCCCUCAAGAUAAGAUAUCCCUCACGUCGGAGACGAUGUGACUGAAGACCGCUCGAAGACUACGAGUCAGAUAGGCCGGGUGUGUAAGUGCGGUGACGCAUUCAAGCUAACCGGUACUAAUCGGUCGUGAGGCUUGGCCAC
rnacentral:rRNA from 1 species